AUUGAACGCUGGCGGCAGGCUUAACACAUGCAAGUCGAACGGUAACAGAAGAAAAGCUUGCUUUUCUUGCUGACGAGUGGCGGACGGGUGAGUAAUGCUUGGGAAUCUGCCUUAUGGAGGGGGAUAACUACGGGAAACUGUAGCUAAUACCGCGUAAUAUCUUCGGAUUAAAGUAUGGGAUCUUCGGACCAUAUGCCAUGAGAUGAGCCCAAGUGAGAUUAGGUAGUUGGUGAGGUAAAGGCUCACCAAGCUGACGAUCUCUAGCUGGUUUGAGAGGAUGACCAGCCGCACUGGAACUGAGACACGGUCCAGACUCCUACGGGAGGCAGCAGUGGGGAAUAUUGCACAAUGGGCGCAAGCCUGAUGCAGCCAUGCCGCGUGAAUGAAGAAGGCUUUCGGGUUGUAAAGUUCUUUCAGUGGUGAGGAAGGGUUAAUAUCUAAUAGGUAUUAACAUUGACGUUAGCCACAGAAGAAGCACCGGCUAACUCCGUGCCAGCAGCCGCGGUAAUACGGAGGGUGCGAGCGUUAAUCGGAAUAACUGGGCGUAAAGGGCACGCAGGCGGUUGUCUAAGUCAGAUGUGAAAGCCCCGAGCUUAACUUGGGAAUUGCAUUUGAUACUGGGCGACUAGAGUCCUCUAGGGAGGGGUAGAAUUCCACGUGUAGCGGUGAAAUGCGUAGAGAUGUGGAGGAAUACCGAACGCGAAGGCAGCCCCUUGGAGAGAGACUGACGCUGAGUGCGAAAGCGUGGGUAGCAAACAGG
rnacentral:rRNA from 1 species